AGUUUUUCGUUCGUCGGUUUGCUCUUGCGUCCUCUCCGCAGUCCCCUCGGUCUCUCUCGUGCUUCCGACGCCGUUAUACACGCACGCACACCUCGACCAACACACACGCACACACUGCAAAGAAGCGCACAGCACCGGAGCGACACAGGCCACGUCUUCGCCCUUCUCCCAACAGCAAACAAAAAAAAAUAGGAAACGUACACCUCCAUCUCGCUGUCUCUCGCUUACCCUCGUCCCCCCUCCCUCUCUCUCGCUUUCUGUGUGUGGCGGAGCGUGUGCCGACAAGGCUGCCAUUCGUCGGUGUGUGUUUAUCUCAUCAGAAGACGACAGCGGUCUUGCUCUUGUGCCUGCCCAUCUCUCUUUUCCGCUGUCGUACUUGCUGGUGUUUUCGAGGCCCCCUCAGCAGCAGCCGGAGCAGCAGCACUCCUGCAUUAUCAGUGUGCGUCUGCUCUUGGUAUCUCUCGUAUUAUUAUUUUGCUUCGUUCGGUCACAUCUUUUCUUCGCCGCCGCCGUCUUCCCCCUCCCUCUGCCGUGCCAUUCGUGAGUACCACUACCACCACUUCUCUUGGCCUCGAUGUGUGGUGCGCCCGCGCCUGCCCGUGUGAUUUCUGUACGUUCUUUCCUCGUCUCUUUUUAGUUACUCACUUUCACGUUUUUUUGUCUUCGCGGUAUCCUUUGCACGCGCUCGCCGGUGUCGCUUCCUUGCUUAUAACCGCCGCAUCGUCAUCGCCAUCGUCGCCAGCACGGUUCUCCCUAUCUCAUCGAGCAUCUCUCUGCACCGCCUUUGCCUUUUUCCUCUGUUCGCACACCCACGCGCACACGCGGCACCCUCUCUGUCGCCCACCAACGAGUGAGUGCGCAUGUGUGCCAUUUGUGGAUCUCUUUGCUGCUGCCGUCCGCUGCAUCUCCCUCCCUCGCCUCUCCUCCUAGUUGUGCUUUCUCACCUCUCCCUCUCCCUCUCCCUCACUAGCGGGUCUGGCACCAUGGGUGUGUGCUGCAGCGACUGCAAGCGCAGCGAUGCUGAGAAGAACACCAAGUCGGUGGGUCAGGUCACCACCAGCAGCGGCUUCAAGCCCAUGCAGAACAGUGCGCUGUGCUUCCAGCCGGUAGCCUUUGAUGUCGUCGUCCCUGAAGGUGCAAACAUGAUGACGGCCUCGCCGCAGCGUGGUAGCGUUGUUGUUGAUUGCGAGGUGAACAACUUCAGCGGCACUCUAUCCGACGCGAGCCUGCACACGAUUCGCGACACCAUAACUGUCGACCGCAGCGGCAACACGUACGAUCCGAUGAACGAAACGCUUAGCAACAUGAGCUUCACGAACAGUUUUCACGCGGUGGACAAGAGGGCGGUUCAGAUAUUCAUGAAAAACGUGGCACGGCUCGCGGAGCGAAACAAUAAAGGGACGAUGCUGGAGGAAAGCUUGAUCAGUGCCAGCAUAGGGCCAGAUAACUGUGCGUGCAACCGGUCCAUGCUGGGCAGCCUCAACAUGAGCAACAUGGCCCAGGAAGAUCUCGACUACAUCGCUGCCGGCGCGACGCUGCAGGACCGUAUAGCGCGCCUGGAGGAGGUCGAAGCGGUGCUGCGACGGUCCAUCGACGGAUCCUGGCGCGUGGACUCGAUGCUGCUGCAGUUGGCGUGCUGCCAAAUUCUCCCGACGUUGCGCCAGCGGCGCUGCCCGUGGGCAGCCGGCAGGAGCGCCACCCAAAGCAAGAGCACCGCCGCUCAGCAGCAGAGCAAGCGCAAGCCAGUGCUCGUCAUUUAUGCUCAAGGGCUGCAGAUGGAUGCCUCCGUCAUCACGGCUCCCACAUCUAUUACUGCCUCUCGAGCCUCGCCAACUCUGCCAAGUGAGCUUUCGAUAGGCAACCUGAACGACGGCAAGGAGGGCGGUGGCAACAACACCUCUAUGGUGCUCGGCGCAUCGAGGUCACGCGCAAGCGUGUCAACUGCCGCCACGAAGGUGCAGCAGUACGAGAUGCUAGCCUUGACUUGCCGCGACAUUGACCCCCACAGGGCUGACAGCGCCUUGGUGGAGAACAACACGUGGGACUUCCUCUCCGUGAGCCGCGCAGCGGCCACCCUCAACGAAGGGCGCUGCAUUUUCCGCUUUUUGUGCGGCUCCCUGGCAGAGGCGGAUCCUGAGACGCAGGGUAUCGUCGACGCCAUCAUCAACCUCAGCUCCUUCGCCGACGAGGUGAAGGAGAACAACGUGCCAAAGGUGAGCGUCUAUAACAGCGAGGACGCGGCCAAGUACAUCGGUAUCCACGUAAAGGCAAUGUACAUGCUUCCCGGCAUCAUGCUGAAAGACAUCACAAAGGACCUGGUGGUGUCCGCCGAGUACCAGAAGGCGUGCCAGCCUUCUGAGAACAAGAUUCAGGAAUGCGAGUUGGACGACACGUUCCGCCUCACAAUGACGAUCAUCCGCUUCGUCUUUAGUCUCACCAUCCAGUUCAAGGUGUCAGAGAUCACCGACCCGGCGGUGCUGAGGUCGCUCGCUGUGUGCGACGGGAUGGUGCCUGCCAAGGCGCUCAUGCUGGAGAGGACAAAGCGGCACAUAGCAAAGGUGGAUGCCACCGCGAAGGUGCGGUCGAUGCUGCUCUACUACCCCGUCAACGAUGGUAUCUUGGUGGACAACCAUACCGUCGUGCUUAACACGUCACUACCGAAGGUGGUGUCGAAGAUCAUGAACAACUUCGGCUCGCAGGGUGCGACGCAGUCGGUGCAGACAGCGAAGCUGACGCGCGAAUACCUGCUUCAGCGCUUUGGCGACUCCCGAAGCAAAUAUUAGCGCCCCUCGCCCUGCUGUGCGAGCCACCGUUACGUGCGAGUUGGGGAGAGGCCGGGGGAGGCGGUGGGAGAUGCAGCACACAAGCCUGCGACACAGACGCGCACCGAAGCCCGUGCAUGGGCUCAAACACGCACAGGGCACCACGCUGCCUUGUAAAGGCGCGCCUCAAGGUACAAGCUUGUCGCAAGGGGCCGGGGAGGGGGCGGCGGCGGCCAGCACCCUGCCGAUCUGUGGCUCUCCCUCUUGUGCUUCAAAAUUUCCGCGGGGCCGUGAAGAGAGAUCGGAGAUCGCUCGCAUGCUGCUGAGCGUUGCACGGACUGGGCAAGUAGCAUCCGACGAUAAACGCAUCAUACUUUUCUCAGGGCCACGAUGUGCGCGUUCUCAUGAUCCAGCAACCCACCCCCUCCUUGCCUGCAUGGCCUCUGGCGUCUAUCCUGUCCUCUGCUCGCACAGCGUGGCAGCUGCAAUGCACUCUCUCCUCCCCUCUCUUCCUGCAG
rnacentral:misc_RNA from 1 species